CCUACGGGAGGCAGCAGUGGGGAAUCUUGCGCAAUGGACGAAAGUCUGACGCAGCCAUGCCGCGUGAGUGAUGAAGGUCUUAGGAUUGUAAAGCUCUUUCGCUCGCGACGAUGAUGACGGUAGCGAGAGAAGAAGCCCCGGCUAACUUCGUGCCAGCAGCCGCGGUGAUACGAAGGGGGCUAGCGUUGUUCGGAAUUACUGGGCGUAAAGCGUGCGCAGGCGGUUUUUUAAAGCCAGAGGUGAGAUCCCGGAGCUCAACUUCGGAAUGGCCUUUGGAACUGGAAAGCUUGAGAACGGUAGAGGUGAGUGGAAUUCCCAGUGUAGAGGUGAAAUUCGUAGAUAUUGGGAAGAACACCGGUGGCGAAGGCGGCUCACUGGACCGUUUCUGACGCUCAGGCACGAAAGCGUGGGGAGCAAACAGGAUUAGAUACCCUGGUAGUCCACGCUGUAAACGAUGGAUGCUAGCCGUUGUGAGCAUGCUCUCNGUGGCGCNGCUACGCGUGAGCGACGCCGCCGUGGGAGGACGGCCGCGUAAGUUAAACGUUACGAAGUAGUUAAGUUAGUACGGCGUUGAGACGNGCGAGGACGACGACGAGGGAGGAGG
rnacentral:rRNA from 1 species